AUUGACACAAACCUAGUUCCAAGCCUUCGUGUCCGUAAUCCCAUGAAGAUUGACCGUAUGAGUUUUCCAAAGGAGGCAGCAUUGACUGGAUCCAACUUGUGCUCCUGACAAUGUCAGAUCCCAUAAGUGCUAGCUACAUCAAAAUCCUUUAGGAUCUCCAGAAUUACCAAGAAAUAGUGGAACUCAUUGCACUUGUGAUCUCAGGUUUAGAGCCUUCGAAACGGAUAAUACGCUGCUAUAUACCACAAAGACAUUUAACCUGACAAAAUAAAGCCAUGGGAGAUGUAGUAUAAGGUUACAAGCAACUAAAAUGGGAAGAUUAAGACUGCAAAGUAGUAAUA